rnacentral:rRNA from 1 species
UACGGGGGGGGCAAGCGUUGUUCGGAAUUACUGGGCGUAAAGGGCUCGUAGGCGGCCAACUAAGUCAGACGUGAAAUCCCUCGGCUUAACCGGGGAACUGCGUCUGAUACUGGAUGGCUUGAGUUCGGGAGAGGGAUGCGGAAUUCCAGGUGUAGCGGUGAAAUGCGUAGAUAUCUGGAGGAACACCGGUGGCGAAGGCGGCAUCCUGGACCGAUACUGACGCUGAGGAGCGAAAAGCCAGGGGAGCAAACGGG